UGUGUGAGUGUUGAGAAGAUGUGAGUUUCUUCUAAUAUCAGUGUGUUGAAGUGUUGUUUCUCUCUCUCUGCUGGAGUUUGUGUUCACUCGAGUGGAAUAGAGGUUUUUGUACGACCGUUUCAUUAGAUUGUAUCACUGUGGUGGACUUUCGGUGGAGGAACUAAACUGGUGCUCGCUGGUCCCACAGUGAAGCCCUCAGUGUCUCUGCUGCCGCCCUCUUCUCUGCAGAUCUCUGGAGACUCAGCCGCACUGCUCUGCCUGCUCAGCUCUUACUCUCCACAGGGGGCGCUGGUGAGCUGGACACUGGACGGGUCAGAGGUCACCGAGGGGGUCGUGACCAGCGCAGAGAGCCAGCGGGACGGCCGCUACAGCCGCAGUAGCGUCCUGACCCUCAGCAAAGCACGCUGGGAAGAGGGAGAGGUGUACGUCUGCAGAGUAACACAUGAUGGAGCUCCUCAUGAGGUCUCGUUCCACAAGAGCUCUGAGUGCUGAUGUUUCUCUCCUGAAGAUGAGCCGUAUCUGAGUGUCCUGUGUCAGGCAGGAUUCACAUGAGUCUAGUGCUGCAGCUGUAGUGAUUUACAACUCAAUACUGAAAGAGAGCUGGCGUGUCAAAGCACUGUGUGAUCUUUCAAUCUGCUGUAACAUUCAAUAAAGCUUCUCAACAAGUUCA